rnacentral:tRNA from 1 species
GGAAGGAGCCCGGCCUGGUCGAGGACCGCGACCGCUACUCGCGUGCGCCGUAAAACGCGUCGAGGGUUCGAAUCCCUCUCCUUCCU